AUUGAACGCUGGCGGAAUGCUUUACACAUGCAAGUCGAGCGGCAGCACGGGGGUAACCCUGGUGGCGAGCGGCGAACGGGUGAGUAAUACAUCGGAACAUGCCCAGUCGUGGGGGAUAACACUUCGAAAGAAGUGCUAAUACCGCAUACGUCCUGAGGGAGAAAGCGGGGGAUCGCAAGACCUCGCGCGAUUGGAGUGGCCGAUGUCAGAUUAGCUAGUUGGUGGGGUAAAGGCCUACCAAGGCAACGAUCUGUAGCUGGUCUGAGAGGAUGAUCAGCCACACUGGGACUGAGACACGGCCCAGACUCCUACGGGAGGCAGCAGUGGGGAAUUUUGGACAAUGGGGGCAACCCUGAUCCAGCCAUUCCGCGUGAGUGAAGAAGGCCUUCGGGUUGUAAAGCUCUUUCGGCAGGAACGAAACGGUGAGCUCUAACAUAGCUUGCUAAUGACGGUACCUGAAGAAGAAGCACCGACUAACUACGUG
rnacentral:rRNA from 1 species